rnacentral:lncRNA from 1 species
UUUUGGUAAUGGUAAGAAUAUAUUACUGAGCUUAGGACAAAUGUACAAACAGCGCCAAAAACUUUCACUCUAGCUGCAUAAAAAACAGGAAGAGUGGAAGGGGGCUGCAAUCAAGCCAGACGGCAGUACAAGAAAAGAAAACACAAAGCAAUAGGCACAACAACUCCAACCGAACCUCCACGCACACUAGGGGAAGACCGCUGAAAAGUGCCACACCCGACAGCUCAAAACACCGGAGGAUUAACGAAAACCGACGGGUCAAAACCCCAACCUCUCUGAAGGCGACGAUUCCUUGGAGUGUCAAGGACAUUCUUAUAUGUAAUGGCCUUAUCUUUGACCACCUUAAACAGGUGGUUCUUGAGGGCAGAAAUAGCUAAGGUAUCUCCUCGAAAUAUCAUGUCAUUCAUUUUCUUCCAGAUUAGAUGACACAAAGCUCCAAAGGAAAACUGAGCGAUGCUAUGAAAGAAAUCCUUACCCGCUAGAAACUUCAUAGCCCAGUAAAGGUUGUCCACCCAAGUGCCAUUUCUCCAUGG